rnacentral:lncRNA from 1 species
UGGAACGAGAAUCAGAGCUGUCGUAGUUCGGCUCACGCACGCCAAACAACACAAACACACAAGCAGGCAAACAUGGAACCCGAACGCCACUCGAUGGACUUACAUCAGCUUCCGAACCAAACAGACCCACACUGGAACCCAGAUGCCACUUGAUGGACUUAUACCGGCUUCCAAGCACACAACAAGAACAAACAAACAACAAAUUGCUAAGGAGUCGGGAACUCGAGCCUAGCAA